AGUGAACGCUGGCGGUAGGCCCAACACAUGCAAGUCGAACGGCAGCACAGUAAGAGCUUGCUCUUACGGGUGGCGAGUGGCGGACGGGUGAGGAAUACAUCGGAAUCUACUUUUUCGUGGGGGAUAACGUAGGGAAACUUACGCUAAUACCGCAUACGACCUACGGGUGAAAGCAGGGGAUCUUCGGACCUUGCGCGAUUGAAUGAGCCGAUGUCGGAUUAGCUAGUUGGCGGGGUAAAGGCCCACCAAGGCGACGAUCCGUAGCUGGUCUGAGAGGAUGAUCAGCCACACUGGAACUGAGACACGGUCCAGACUCCUACGGGAGGCAGCAGUGGGGAAUAUUGGACAAUGGGCGCAAGCCUGAUCCAGCCAUACCGCGUGGGUGAAGAAGGCCUUCGGGUUGUAAAGCCCUUUUGUUGGGAAAGAAAAGCAUCAGGUUAAUACCCCGCUGUUCUGACGGUACCCAAAGAAUAAGCACCGGCUAACUUCGUG
rnacentral:rRNA from 1 species